rnacentral:rRNA from 1 species
UACGUAGGGUGCAAGCGUUGUCCGGAAUUAUUGGGCGUAAAGAGCUCGUAGGCGGUCUGUCGCGUCUGCUGUGAAAACUCAGGGCUUAACCCUGAGCUUGCAGUGGGUACGGGGCAGACUAGAGUGCGGUAGGGGAGACUGGAAUUCCUGGUGUAGCGGUGAAAUGCGCAGAUAUCAGGAGGAACACCGGUGGCGAAGGCGGGUCUCUGGGCCGAUACUGACGCUGAGGAGCGAAAGCCAUGGGUAGCGAACAGG